rnacentral:rRNA from 1 species
UACGUAGGGUGCGAGCGUUGUCCGGAAUUACUGGGCGUAAAGAGCUCGUAGGUGGUUUGUCGCGUUGUUCGUGAAAACUCACAGCUCAACUGUGGGCGUGCGGGCGAUACGGGCAGACUGGAGUACUGCAGGGGAGACUGGAAUUCCUGGUGUAGCGGUGAAAUGCGCAGAUAUCAGGAGGAACACCGAUGGCGAAGGCGGCAUCCUGGACCGGCAUUGACGCUGAGUGAGCGAAAGCCAGGGGAGCAAACGGG